UACAGAGGUCCCAAGCGUUGUUCGGAUUCAUUGGGCGUAAAGGGUGCGUAGGUGGCGGGGUAAGUUGGAUGUGAAAUCCCGGGGCUCAACCCCGGAACUGCAUUCAAUACUGCUCUGCUAGAGUACUGGAGAGGAGAUUGGAAUUCAUGGUGUAGCAGUGAAAUGCGUAGAUAUCUGGAGGAACACCGGUGGCGAAGGCGGCGUUCUGGACUGCAACUGACACUGAGGAACGAAAGCCAGGGGAGCAAACGGG
rnacentral:rRNA from 1 species